GUUUGUAAUUGGGUGUCAAUGUCUUUUAACAAUUUCAAGUAGUUAGCUGGGAAGAGAUCCUUUUCUUUGCGUGUUAUUUUGAUGCCUAGGUACACUAGGAAAUCUUCUCUCCAAUCGAAGUGGUGGCUUGCUUUGAGCAUGUCUUCUAUGGGUUUUGGGAUGUUAAGGCACAUUGCUUGCGUUUUGGUGACAUUGAGCUUGUAGUAGGACUGUUGGCUGUAAGCAUGUAGUUCCGUGUGUAGGGAUGGGAGUGAUAUGAAUGGCUGCGUGAGCGUAAGGAAGAUGUCAUCGGCAAAUAAGCUGAGUUUAUAUUCUGUAUUGCUAGUCGGUACCCCAUGGAUAUUGUCGUUACUGAGAAUCGCUAUAGCCAAGGGUUCCAAGGCUAGCACGUAGAGGAGAGGGGAUAGCGGGCAUCCUUGUCUGGUCCCAUUUGUUAUGGGGAAAGCUCUUGAGCAGAACCCGGAGUUCAGUACCGUUGCCGUGGGUGCGCUGUAUAGUGCGUUAACUGCGGAUAGGAAGGGGGCUGGGAGGCCGUAAGCUUGUAGGGUUUCAUGGAG